rnacentral:piRNA from 1 species
GAAGAGGAAAAAAAAAUGCCUUUGAAGCAA